GAGGGUCCAAAAGAGUGAAGUCCAUCAAACAUGGAUGCAUAAGGUAGAGGAAAAGAGUGACACAGAAUCCGUUACAUGAUGCUGCUGAGCAAGAAUUUUCAGUUG
rnacentral:lncRNA from 1 species